rnacentral:rRNA from 1 species
UACAGAGGGUGCGAGCGUUAAUCGGAAUUACUGGGCGUAAAGCGUGCGUAGACGGUUAUUUAAGUCGGGUGUGAAAGCCCCCGGGCUCAACCUGGGAAUUGCAUUCGAGACUGAAUAGCUAGGGUACGGUAGAGGGAAGUGGAAUUUCCGGUGUAGCGGUGAAAUGCGUAGAUAUCGGGAGGAACACCAGUGGCGAAGGCGACUACCUGGCCUGUUCUUGACGCUGAGGCGCGAAAGCUAGGGGAGCAAACGGGG